rnacentral:sRNA from 1 species
GAUGGGCAUGGUGGCUCAUGCCUGUAAUUCCAGCGGCUCGGGAGGCUGAGGCAGGAGGAUCAUGAGUUCAAAGCCAGCCUCAGCAAUGGCGAGGUGCUAAGCACCUCAGGGAGACCCUGUCUCUA